UUGUUAGGAUUAUGAUUCCAACUAAAUAUAACAACCUUCAUGUUGAAUAAUCCGGAAUUAAACUACAUGAGCGGAAGCUAACCUGAAUCCAUAUGUGGAAUUAUUGAACCUCCUUUUUGAUAAUUGUCCUUAUGCCUUUUGAAGAAUGCUCCUUAAUCCUUUCCUUCAAGUUUGUUCUUGAUGGUAUGUGUAUCCACAAGAUUCUUCACAAGACUAAAUAAUNNN
rnacentral:lncRNA from 1 species